UAGGGAAUCUUCGGCAAUGGGGGGAACCCUGACCGAGCAACGCCGCGUGAGUGAAGAAGGUUUUCGGAUCGUAAAGCUCUGUUGUUAAGGAAGAACGAGUGUGAGAAUGGAAAGUUCAUGCUGUGACGGUACUUAACCAGAAAGGGACGGCUAAAUACGUGCCAGCAGCCGCGGUAAUACGUAUGGAGCAAGCGUUAUCCGGAUUCAUUGGGCGUAAAGCGCUCGUAGGCGGUCUGUUAGGUCGGCAAGUUAAAUCCGGGGGCUCAACCCCCGUCCGCUUCCGAUACCGGCAGACUUGAGUUUGGUAGGGGAAGGUGGAAUUCCUAGUGUAGCGGUGGAAUGCGCAGAUAUUAGGAAGAACACCGGUGGCGAAGGCGGCCUUCUGGGCCAUAACUGACGCUGAGGAGCGAAAGCUAGGGGAGCGAACAGG
rnacentral:rRNA from 1 species